UACGUAGGGUGCGAGCGUUGUCCGGAAUUAUUGGGCGUAAAGAGCUUGUAGGCGGUUUGUCGCGUCUGCUGUGAAAAUCCGGGGCUCAACCCCGGACUUGCAGUGGGUACGGGCAGACUAGAGUGUGGUAGGGGAGACUGGAAUUCCUGGUGUAGCGGUGGAAUGCGCAGAGAUCAGGAGGAAUACCGAAGGCGAAGGCAGUCUUCCAAGCCGUUAUUGACGCUCAACUGCGAAGGUGUGGGUAUCAAACAGGAUUAGAUACCCUGGUAGU
rnacentral:rRNA from 1 species